AAGACUAGACUGAGCGUGCGUAAGAGGGAGGCGGAAAUCGGAAGUUCAAGGCUGGCUCUCUCCUUAGUGGGCGAGUUUUCGCAGGGGUGUUGGGUCGGUCACCAGUGUCUGAGGCGCACCGUGUUGGUGUCUGCCUUUCUCUGUUGCGGUCGCGCGACUCUGACUGAGCAGGAAUCGCUCUGACGAGGCCGAGUUGCAGUCUGCAGGGAAAGACAUGCCGUCUGCCAAGCAGCUAGCCGACAUUGGCUACAAGACCUUCUCUGCCUCGAUGAUGCUCCUCACUGUGUACGGGGGCUACCUCUGCAGCGUACGAGCCUACCAUUACCUCCAGCUGCGCAGUGCCAGGCGCCAGGCCGCGGAAGAGCAGAAGACCUCAGGAGUCCUGUAGAGCUCAGCUCUUCCUUUGGCGCAGCCGACGCAUGAGGCAUGAGGCAUGAAACGGGAAAAGACCUCCCGGAAUGCCAUCCGUGGCGAGAACUAGGCCACGAUGCCUUUCAAACCUGCCGUGGUUUCUGUGGUACUGCUGGCUUGUGUCAUUUUGAUGAUUUAUGGAGGCCAUCAAAGUAAAUGGGAACGUGAGGGUGAGGUUCAAUACAGAGAUUAAAUAUUUUGCUUUGUUUGUGUUUAGUGUUUCUAUGUACCCAAAGAGUGUAUGGAUCAUAGAGGUGGGGACCUUGAGUUCUCUAAAGCCUGGUCUCUGUCUUAUUUUGUUUGUUCAAGACAGGGUCUCUUUAUGUGGCCCUAGCUGUCCUGGGACUCUAUAAAAAAGACUAGGCUAGCUUGAACUAAGAGAUUCUCUUUCCUGUACCUCCCACGUGUUGGAAUUAAAGGCCUGCGCCAUCAUGUCUAGCA
rnacentral:lncRNA from 1 species